UACAGAGGUCUCAACCGUUGUUCGGAUUCAUUGGGCGUAAAGGGUGCGUAGGCGGUCGGGUAAGUCGGAUGUGAAAUCUCAGGGCUCAACCCUGAAACUGCAUUCGAUACUGCCGUGCUUGAGGACUGGAGAGGAGACUGGAAUUUACGGUGUAGCGGUGAAAUGCGUAGAUAUCGUAAGGAAGACCAGUGGCGAAGGCGGGUCUCUGGACAGUUCCUGACGCUGAGGCACGAAGGUCAGGGGAGCAAACGGG
rnacentral:rRNA from 1 species